AUUGAACGCUGGCGGCAGGCCUAACACAUGCAAGUCGAGCGGAUGAAGGCUGCUUUCUCCUGGAUUCCGCGUCGGACGGGUGAGUAAUGCCUAUGAAUCUGCCUGCUAUUGCUUUAUAACGUCCUCAGACGGGCGCUACUACCACAUACUUCCUGAGCGUGAAACUUGGUGAUCUUCGGACCUCUCGCUCUCAUGUGAGCCUAGGCCGGGUUAGCUAGUUGGUGGGUUAAAGGCCUACCUAGGCGACGAUCCGUAACUGGACUGAGAGGAGGAUCAGUCACACUGGAACUGAGACACGGUCCAGAGUCCUAAGGGAGGCAGCAGUGGGGAAUAGGGGGCAAUGGGCGAGAGCCUGAUACAGCCAGGGCGCGUGUGUGAAGAAGGUCUUCGGAUUGUAAAGCACUUUAAGUGGGGAGGAAGGGCAGUAAGUUAAGACCUUGCUGUUGUGACGGUACCAACAGAAGAAGCACCGGCUAACUACGUG
rnacentral:rRNA from 1 species